GACGAACGCUGGCGGCGCGCCUAACACAUGCAAGUCGAACGGAAUCAAGAGGAGCUUGCUUUUCUUGAUUUAGUGGCGAACGGGUGAGUAACGCGUGAGUAACCUGCCCUGGAGUGGGGGACAACAGUUGGAAACGACUGCUAAUACCGCAUAAGCCCACGGAACCGCAUGGUUCUGAGGGAAAAGGAUUUAUUCGCUUCAGGAUGGACUCGCGUCCAAUUAGCUAGUUGGUGAGGUAACGGCCCACCAAGGCGACGAUUGGUAGCCGGACUGAGGGGUUGAACGGCCACAUUGGGACUGAGACACGGCCCAGACUCCUACGGGAGGCAGCAGUGGGGGAUAUUGCACAAUGGGGGAAACCCUGAUGCAGCGACGCCGCGUGGAGGAAGAAGGUUCUCGGAUUGUAAACUCCUGUCGUUAGGGACGAUAAUGACGGUACCUAACAAGAAAGCACCGGCUAACUACGUGCCAGCCGCCGCGGUAA
rnacentral:rRNA from 1 species